UACGUCUGCGAGAACUGGAGCCGACCACUACAACCCGGGAGUUCGGGGCGCCCCUGAACACGUUGAUGCCGUCCGCUCGUCUGGCAUAACAGAUUGGAAGCAGACGCAUUCCAAAGGACGCCUUCUUGCGGCAGAUUUGUCGGCACGCUUUGUAGAAGACUUUAAUUUAUUGUUUUAUUUGAGUGUACCUGAUGCCAGCGUAGGCAA